UGGCGAAAUUAGAGGAGUGCGUCAGA
rnacentral:piRNA from 1 species